rnacentral:pre_miRNA from 1 species
UAGUUUUGUCCUAAGUCAAAACAUCGCUAACUUUGACCAAGAAUAUGGAAAAAUGUAUUAACAUCUGCAAUACCAAAUAAAUGCACUAUCAAGACAUAUUUCAUGGUGUAUUUAGCUAAACUAAUUUGAUUUUGUAGAUGUUGGUAUAUUUUUCUAUAAACUUGUUCUGAGUCAAAGAGUUUGACUUGGAACAAACCUAA